GCCUACACCACAGCACAGCAACACCAGAUCCGAGCUGCAUCUGAGACCUACACCACAGCUCACAGCAACGCCAGAUCCUUAACCCACCAAGCAAGGACAGGGAUCAAAACCGCAACCUCAUGUUGCUAGUUGGAUUCAUUUCCGAUACACCAAGAUGGGGACUCCAUAAGCUCAUUUUUAAAUGAAUCACCAUUAGCCCUAAAUUUCUUACUGAAAAUAUGGAAAGACAAAGACUUACAGUUCUAAACCUUGAUAAAUCUAUGAAAGUGAUGACCACAUAAAUUAACCUACAAAUGUCAAAAAGCAACCAUUAAUUCAAUAAUUUAUCCAACAACUACACUAUGUGCCCAGCAUUUUAUGUCAGGCAGCCAAAAUAACAUAAAUAAUAUCUAUCCUCAAGAAAAGCACAAAUAUGACAGGAGAAUCACAUGAGUGAAUAACCAAACAUGAUUGGCAAGGCAAACAAAAUCUUACAGGCAAACAGAAGAUGACUGAAAUUGGAAGUCAUGUUCGCAGACUGAGACGACAAGUGAUCUGGUUGCAUAGGAAUGUGGAGUAAGAUGUGGGGGCUGAGAGGGUGUUAAGCCCAAACUGUCAGAGAAAGGCAUGAUGAGCAGAGGAUACAGCAUGAGCAAAGGUAGAGAAGAAUACACAUAUACAAAAGUGAGAGAUAAAAACUUAAAUAACAUUACAUUACUUUGAGAUGGAUAUCCUUUUUUAUAAAACAUUCUUACAAAAUAAUUUUAACCAAAGAUUAUUUUCUUAGACACCUAAAAUUCUAGGACUAGCCUAACAUUUAUGAAGUAGUCCUAGGGAAAUAACUCAAUAUGCUGUUAUCUAAAAUAAACAGAACAGAGAGUUCCCAUCGUGGCAAUAGCAGGUAAAUGAAUCCAAUUAGGAACCAUGAGGUUACCGGUUUGAUCCCUGGCCUCGCUCAGCGGGUCAAGUAUCCAGCAUUGCAGUGAGCUAUGGUGUAGUCGCAGAUGUGGCUCAGAUCUGGUGGUGCUGUGGCCGUGGCGUAGGCCGGCCGCUACAGCUCCCACUUGACCCCUAGUCUGGGAACUUCCAUACACUGCAGGUGCAGCCCUAAAAAGACAAAAGAAAAGAGAAGAGAAAAGAAAAGAAAUUUAAUCUUACAUCAUUUCCUUUAAUAUUUAAGCUCAAGUCAAAACCACACAAGCAACAGCUUCAAAUCCUUACCUUUCAUUGCUACCAUUUUCAUGAGCCUCACAUCAGUUAUUCUAAAACUCCUAAAUUUAAAUUCUUUCAUAGCUAUAAAUUUGGCUUCUCAAAAGGAACCAUAAAUUUCCUUAAGAGCAAAAACCAUAAUUUAAUACCUUUGAAGGUCCCAACAUAAAUCUAGAAACAUAGAAGAUACCCAAUUAAAUAUUUAUUGACUAACUGUUUACUGAGAUUGGAAUUUUUACGUUUUUAAAGAACAUGCUACCUUAAAACAUACUUAAUAUUACAUAGUUUUGCAGCUUUUCAUUCUAAGAAAACCUUGAUAAGAAACUUGAUAAGAAAACCAGAAAAUGGCUGGGAAUUACUAUUCUGAGAAAUUCUAAUCUGCCUGCCAUCAUAACCCAGUAUUAGGUUUGGUUACAAUUUUUGCCCUACUGAGACAAUUUUAUUAGUCCACCAGCUAACUCACAGUAACCACAUAAGAAACACUGCGAGUAAUGUUUACAACUCUGACUUCACACGUUAAGCCAAAACUCUAAAUAAAAUAAUGCAACCCUGAAGUUUAGAUGUUCGAUCCCUGGCCUUGCUCAGUGGGUUACGGAUCUGGUGUUGCCAUGAGCUGUGGUAUAGGUUGCAGAUGUGGCUCGGAACCCGAGUUGCUGUGGCUGUGGUGUAGGCCGGUGGCUACAGCUCCAAUUCAACCCCUAGACUGGGAACCUCCAUAUGCCAUGGGAGCAGCCCAAGAAAUGGUAAAAAGACCAAAAAAAAAAAAAUGCACUUAAGCAAUUUCAAUAAAUGAUCACUUUAAAAACAUGGGUAGGGAAGUUCCCAUUGCAGCUCAGUAGGUUAAGAACCCAACUAGGAUCCAUGAGAAUGUGCUGAUCCCUGGCCUGACUCAGUGGGUUUAAAGGAUCCGGCAUUGCCUUGAGCUGUGGUAUAAGCCUCAGACACAGCUCGGAUCUGGCAUUGCUGUGGCUAUGGCACAGGACAGCAGAUGCAGCUCCGAUUAGACCCCUAGCCUAGGAACUUCCAUAAGCCUUGGGUGUGGCCCUAAAAAGACCAAAACAAACAAACAAUAACAGGUAGGGAAAAAACACAUGAUAAGCUUGGCAGUAAAAGCAACUAUUCUUUCAAUAACUGAAUGAUUUAUUUACUAUUGUAAAGGUGAUUAUGUUUAGAACACUGGACAGUAAGUAGUCUAUGAAUACUUGAGGAUUUAAAAUACUUGACUACUUAAAAAAGGAACAGUUUGAGGUAAACACUUGUUAAGAAUAUGUGUGAAAUAAUACACAGUACCAUAAAUUUGAAAAGUAUGAAACUGAGGUAUUUCCCAGUUUUGAUUAUAUAUACCUUGCUUUCGGAAAUAAAAUCUCUUUCUGGAAACUGUCUAU
rnacentral:lncRNA from 1 species